rnacentral:rRNA from 1 species
GACGAACGCUGGCGGCGUGCUUAACACAUGCAAGUCGAACGGAAAGGCCCUGCUUUUGUGGGGUGCUCGAGUGGCGAACGGGUGAGUAACACGUGAGUAACCUGCCCUUGACUUUGGGAUAACUUCAGGAAACUGGGGCUAAUACCGGAUAUGAGCUCCUGCUGCAUGGUGGGGGUUGGAAAGUUUCGGCGGUUGGGGAUGGACUCGCGGCUUAUCAGCUUGUUGGUGGGGUAGUGGCUUACCAAGGCUUUGACGGGUAGCCGGCCUGAGAGGGUGACAGGCCACAUUGGGACUGAGAUACGGCACAGACUCCUACGGGAGGCAGCAGUGGGGAAUAUUGCACAAUGGGCGGAAGCCUGAUGCAGCAACGCCGCGUGCGGGAUGACGGCCUUCGGGGUGUAAACCGCUUUCGCCUGUGACGAAGCGUGAGUGACGGUAAUGGGUAAAGAAGCACCGGCUAACUACGUG